GUUUGAUUUUCCAGUAUCCCAGAGGAACAAGGUACUGGCUCUGCUGGCUUUACACAGCCUGAAGGUAGUUUCUAUUGCGGCUGCAGCUCCUCUUAGGGGCUGAGGUCACUUGUGAAGAAAGACCUUGGAGACCUCCUGAGACCCGCAUGUAUGGCAGGGAGAGCAAGGACAGAUGCCCUCAGCCACAAGGCCAGGCCCCUGUGUGUGUGAAACGUUCAAUAAAAGCAGUAAAGAGCACAAUGGAUAUAAUAAAAAGCUAAACUAACUACUCAAGAAAUCCUCGGAAUACUUGAAGAAAACCUAAGUGAAAUUGUGAAUAACAAGGAAGAUAGGAAAGAGGUUUCAGGACUUAUGGCAGCUGAUGACACAGCCUGCAGUACAGGAAACACUGCCAGGAAACAACUUCCAAGGUUAGGAGGUAACACCACGGAGAGUGCUCAAUGUGAUCUUCCUGAUUUGACAACUUCUGAAGAGCACAGCAGAACUGCAUUUUCAUGCUUGAGGAGAUUUCUGGUGACAUGGGACUCCCUGGAACUGCUAAUAAGGAUGUGCAUUAGGAGCCCCAGGUCAGACAAUGGACCUUGAGAUGGUUUUUCUGAGGCACAGCUGGAGGAAAGUCCCCUGUCCAGUAUUGAAAGUGGUAA